rnacentral:rRNA from 1 species
AUUGAACGCUGGCGGCAUGCCUUACGCAUGCAAGUCGAACGGCAGCAUAGGAGCUUGCUCCUGAUGGCGAGUGGCGAACGGGUGAGUAAUAUAUCGGAACGUGCCCUAGAGUGGGGGAUAACUAGUCGAAAGAUUAGCUAAUACCGCAUACGAUCUACGGAUGAAAGUGGGGGAUCGCAAGACCUCAUGCUCCUGGAGCGGCCGAUAUCUGAUUAGCUAGUUGGUGGGGUAAAAGCCUACCAAGGCGACGAUCAGUAGCUGGUCUGAGAGGACGACCAGCCACACUGGGACUGGGACACGGCCCAGACUCCUACGGGAGGUAGCAGUGGGGAAUUUUGGACAAUGGGGGCAACCCUGAUCCAGCAAUGCCGCGUGAGUGAAGAAGGCCUUCGGGUUGUAAAGCUCUUUUGUCAGGGAAGGAACGGUUUUGGCUAAUAUCCAAGACUAAUGACGGUACCUGAAGAAUAAGCACCGGCUAACUACGUGCCAGCCGCCGCCGUAACAC